AAAAAGCAAUGGAUAAUAGA
rnacentral:miRNA from 1 species